GACGAACGCUGGCGGCGUGCCUAAUACAUGCAAGUAGAACGCUGAAGAGAGGAGCUUGCUCUUCUUGGAUGAGUUGCGAACGGGUGAGUAACGCGUAGGUAACCUGCCUUGUAGCGGGGGAUAACUAUUGGAAACGAUAGCUAAUACCGCAUAACAAUGGAUGACACAUGUCAUUUAUUUGAAAGGGGCAAUUGCUCCACUACAAGAUGGACCUGCGUUGUAUUAGCUAGUAGGUGAGGUAAUGGCUCACCUAGGCGACGAUACAUAGCCGACCUGAGAGGGUGAUCGGCCACACUGGGACUGAGACACGGCCCAGACUCCUACGGGAGGCAGCAGUAGGGAAUCUUCGGCAAUGGGGGCAACCCUGACCGAGCAACGCCGCGUGAGUGAAGAAGGUUUUCGGAUCGUAAAGCUCUGUUGUAAGUCAAGAACGGGUGUGAGAGUGGAAAGUUCACACUGUGACGGUAGCUUACCAGAAAGGGACGGCUAACUACGUGCCAGCAGCCGCGGUAAUACGUAGGUCCCGAGCGUUGUCCGGAUUUAUUGGGCGUAAAGCGAGCGCAGGCGGUUUGAUAAGUCUGAAGUUAAAGGCUGUGGCUCAACCAUAGUUCGCUUUGGAAACUGUCAAACUUGAGUGCAGAAGGGGAGAGUGGAAUUCCAUGUGUAGCGGUGAAAUGCGUAGAUAUAUGGAGGAACACCGGUGGCGAAAGCGGCUCUCUGGUCUGUAACUGACGCUGAGGCUCGAAAGCGUGGGGAGCGAACAGGAUUAGAUACCCUGGUAGUCCACGCCGUAAACGAUGAGUGCUAGGUGUUGGAUCCUUUCCGGGAUUCAGUGCCGCAGCUAACGCAUUAAGCACUCCGCCUGGGGAGUACGACCGCAAGGUUGAAACUCAAAGGAAUUGACGGGGGCCCGCACAAGCGGUGGAGCAUGUGGUUUAAUUCGAAGCAACGCGAAGAACCUUACCAGGUCUUGACAUCCCGAUGCUAUUUCUAGAGAUAGAAAGUUACUUCGGUACAUCGGUGACAGGUGGUGCAUGGUUGUCGUCAGCUCGUGUCGUGAGAUGUUGGGUUAAGUCCCGCAACGAGCGCAACCCCUAUUGUUAGUUGCCAUCAUUCAGUUGGGCACUCUAGCGAGACUGCCGGUAAUAAACCGGAGGAAGGUGGGGAUGACGUCAAAUCAUCAUGCCCCUUAUGACCUGGGCUACACACGUGCUACAAUGGUUGGUACAACGAGUUGCGAGUCGGUGACGGCGAGCUAAUCUCUUAAAGCCAAUCUCAGUUCGGAUUGUAGGCUGCAACUCGCCUACAUGAAGUCGGAAUCGCUAGUAAUCGCGGAUCAGCACGCCGCGGUGAAUACGUUCCCGGGCCUUGUACACACCGCCCGUCACACCACGAGAGUUUGUAACACCCGAAGUCGGUGAGGUAACCUUUUGGAGC
rnacentral:rRNA from 1 species